rnacentral:tRNA from 1 species
GACCCAAUACUUUAAAAUAAAAGAUCUGAUUUGCAUUUAGAAAAUAAGUGUUUACACUUUUGGGUCA